GAUGAACGCUGGCGGCGUGCCUAAUACAUGCAAGUCGAGCGAACAGACGAGGAGCUUGCUCCUCUGACGUUAGCGGCGGACGGGUGAGUAACAGGUGGAUAACCUACCUAUAAGACUGGGAUAACUUUGGGAAACCGGAGCUAAUACCGGAUAAUAUAUUGAACCGCAUGGUUCAAUAGUGAAAGACGGUUUUGCUGUCACUUAUAGAUGUAUCCGCGCCGCAUUAGCUAGUUGGUAAGGUAACGGCUUACCAAGGCGACGAUGCGUAGCCGACCUGAGAGGGUGAUCGGCCACACUGGAACUGAGACACGGUCCAGACUCCGACGGGCGGCAGCAGUAGGGAAUCUUCCGCAAUGGGCGAAAGCCUGACGGAGCAACGCCGCGUGAGUGAUGAAGGUCUUCGGAUCGUAAAACUCUGUUAUUAGGGAAGAACAAAUGUGUAAGUAACUAUGCACGUCUUGACGGUACCUAAUCAGAAAGCCCCGGCUAACUACGUG
rnacentral:rRNA from 1 species